rnacentral:rRNA from 1 species
AUAAUAAGUCAGUGGUGAAAUCUCUUUGCUUAACAAGAGAAAUUGCCAUUGAAACUGUUAGACUUGAGAAUGGACGAGGUAGGCGGAAUUCGUAGUGUAGCGGUGAAAUGCAUAGAUAUUACGAAGAACUCCAAUAGUGUAGACUGCUUACCAGACCAUAUCUGACACUAAGGCACGAAAGUGUGGGUAUCAAACAGGAUUAGAUACCCUGGUAGUCCACACAGUAAACGAUGAAUACUAACUGUUUGCGAUAUACAGCAAGUGGUCGAGCGAAAGCGUUAAGUAUUCCACCUGGGAAGUAUGCCGGCAACGGUGAAACUCAAAGGAAUUGACGGGGGCCCGCACAAGCGGAGGAACAUGUGGUUUAAUUCGAUAAUACGCGAGGAACCUUACCCGGGCUCGAACGAUAUUUGAAUACAUCCGAAAAGAUGUAGCUAGCAAUAGCAAAUACCGAGGUGCUGCAUGGUUGUCGUCAGCUCGUGCCGUGAGGUGUCGACUUAAGUGUCAUAACGAGCGCAACCCUUACCGAUAGUUACCAUCAGAUAAUGCUGGGGACUCUAUUGGGACUGCCACCGUAAGGUGUGAGGAAGGAGAGGAUGACGUCAAAUCAGCACGGCCCUUAUGUCCGGGGCGACACACAUGUUACAAUGGGAGAAACAAAGGGUCGCUACCUGGCAACAGGAUGCUAAUCUCGAAAAUCUCUCUCAGUUCGGAUUGGAGUCUGCAACUCGACUCCAUGAAGCUGGAUUCGCUAGUAAUCGCACAUCAGCCAUGGUGCGGUGAAUACGUUCCCGGGCCUUGUACACACCGCCCGUCAAGCCAUGGAAGCUGGAAGUACCUGAAGUAUGUAACUAAAAGAGCGUCCUAAGU